GGAUUAGAUACCCUGGUAGUCCACGCCGUAAACGAUGGGCACUAGGUGUCGGCGGUAUUAAUCCCGUCGGUGCCGGCGCUAACGCAGUAAGUGCCCCGCCUGGGGAGUACGGUCGCAAGGCUGAAACUCAAACGAAUUGACGGGGGCCCGCACAAGCGGUGGAGCAUGUGGUUUAAUUCGACGCAACGCGAAGAACCUUACCUAGGUUUGACAUGUAUAGGACCGGCUGUGAAAGCAGUCUUCCCUUCGGGGCCUAUGCACAGGUGCUGCAUGGCUGUCGUCAGCUCGUGCCG
rnacentral:rRNA from 1 species